rnacentral:rRNA from 1 species
GACGAACGCUGGUGGCGUGCUUAACACAUGCAAGUCGAACGGAAAGGCCCUGCUUUUGUGGGGGGCUCGAGUGGCGAACGGGUGAGUAACACGUGAGUAACCUGCCCUUGACUUUGGGAUAACUUCAGGAAACUGGGGCUAAUACCGGAUAGGAGCUCCUGCUGCAUGGUGGGGGUUGGAAAGUUUCGGCGGUUGGGGAUGGACUCGCGGCUUAUCAGCUUGUUGGUGGGGUAGUGGCUUACCAAGGCUUUGACGGGUAGCCGGCCUGAGAGGGUGACCGGCCACAUUGGGACUGAGAUACGGCCCAGACUCCUACGGGAGGCAGCAGUGGGGAAUAUUGCACAAUGGGCGGAAGCCUGAUGCAGCAACGCCGCGUGCGGGAUGACGGCCUUCGGGUUGUAAACCGCUUUCGCCUGUGACGAAGCGUGAGUGACGGUAAUGGGUAAAGAAGCACCGGCUAACUACGUG